rnacentral:rRNA from 1 species
UACGGAGGGUGCAAGCAUUAAUCGGAUUUAUUGGGCGUAAAGGGCGCGUAGGCGGAGAUAAAAGUCAGAUGUGAAAUCCCGGGGCUCAACCUCGGAACAGCAUUUGAAACUCUAUCCCUUGAGGGUAGGCGGAGAAAACGGAAUUCCACAAGUAGCGGUGAAAUGCGUAGAUAUGUGGAAGAACACCAGUGGCGAAGGCGGUUUUCUAGCUUAUUCCUGACGCUAAAGCGCGAAAGCAAGGGGAUCAAACAGG